GACGAACGCUGGCGGCGUGCUUAACACACGCAAGUCGAACGGAAAGGCCCUGCUUUUGUGGGGUGCUCGAAUGGCGAACGGGUGAGUAACACGUGAGUAACCUGCCCUUGACUUUGGGAUAACUUCAGGAAACUGGGGCUAAUAACGGAUAGGAGCUCCUGCUGCAUGGUGGGGGUUGGAAAGUUUAGGCGGUUGGGGAUGGGCCCGCGGGUUAUCAGCUUGUUGGGGGGGUAGUGGCUUACCAAGGCUUUGACGGGUAGGCGGCCGGAGAGGGGGACCGGCCACAUUGGGACUGGGAAACGGCCCAAACUCCUACGGGAGGCAGCAGUGGGGAAUAUUGCACAAUGGGCGGAAGCCUGAUGCAGGAACGCCGCGUGCGGGAUGACGGCCUUCGGGUUGUAAACCGCUUUCGCCUGUGACAAAGCGUGAGUGACAGUAAUGGGUAAAGAAGCACCGGCUAACUACGUG
rnacentral:rRNA from 1 species